UACGUAGGGUGCAAGCGUUGUCCGGAAUUAUUGGGCGUAAAGAGCUCGUAGGCGGUUUGUUGCGUCGGCUGUGAAAUCCCGAGGCUCAACCUCGGGUCUGCAGUCGAUACGAGCAAACUAGAGUGUUGCAGGGGAGACUGGAAUUCCUGGUGUAGCGGUGAAAUGCGCAGAUAUCAGGAGGAACACCGGUGGUGUAGACGGCUAUCUGGACCGUAACUGACGCUGAGGCACGAAAGCGUGGGUAGCAAACAGG
rnacentral:rRNA from 1 species